AAGGAAUUAGUUAAAUAUUUAUAACCUUUGUUUGUCAUGCAAAAAUUAUCUCCAGGAUAUUCCUUA
rnacentral:tRNA from 1 species